UUUGCUGUGAUUUAAAGAUUAUAGGCCAGGUGCAGUGGCUCAUGCCUGUAAUUCCAGCGCUUUGGGAGGCCAUGGCAGGUGGAUCACCUGAAGUCAGGAGUUCAAGACCAGCCUGGCCAAAGUGAAACACCAUCUCUACAAAAAAUACAAAAAUUAUCUGGGCGUGAUAGCAGGUGCCUGUAAUCCCAGCUACUUGGGAGGCUGAGGCAGGAGAGAAUUACUUGAACCUGGGAGGCAGAGGUUGCAGUGAGCCAAGAUCGCACCAUUGCACUCCAGCCUGGGUGACAGAGCAAGACUCCGUCUCAAAAAAAAAAAAAAAAAAAAUUAUGAUGAUGCCAAGGUUGGUGGGUCGUCAGCCAGCUGAGAUUACUACUGUCUACAUUUGCAUGGCCUCUAAGCGUUCCUCAAUGCACUUGAGUCAAGGAACUUUCAAAGGAGUCUUCCUGUAUUUCUGCCCACCCAGAUAAACCCAGAGAUUGUGCUGGGAUGUGAGACCUGCUUCUCUGUUCAGCCAGGACCUAUAGACCUUUCUCAUCCCUCAUUUCCCCCAUCCCAAAUCUCAAAUCUCCACCCCAAGCAGAAUUUUUCUUUCUUCAUUUUGUCCCCAGGCUUCUUGUCAAAACUUUUAGUUUGUCCCUGGGAUUCCUCCCUGAUCCUGGGCAUUAGGCUUUUGGGAAAAAAAUUCAGGAAGAUGGACAGGCUGUUUAUACUCUCUUCUGUUACAUCUGUCCUGGGGUGACAAGCAGGGAGCAGGCCACAAACAUGCAUGGUGACAAAGGGAACAGGAAUAGCUGGGAAAAAGAAAACAAUAUCAAUUAAUACUUCAAAAUAUAGCCCAAGGCAUACAUUUAUUCUCUGUAUUUUUGUUAGGCCUUGUCCCAUGAGAAAACUUGCAUUCUGUUUCACUUAAUCUGUACGACAGCGGUAUUAGUCCAUUUUCACGCCGCUGAUAAAGACAUACCCAAGACUGGGCAAUUUAUAAAGAAAAGGAGGCUUAAUGGACUCACAGUUCCACAUGGCUGGAGAGGCCUCACAAUCAGGUAAAAGACAAAUGGCAGAAGGCAAGAAAGAGUGAGAACCAAGCAAAAGAGAUUUCCUCUUAUAAAACCAUCAGAUCUUGUGAGACUUAUUCACUGCCACCAAAAGAGUAUGGGGGAAACCACCCCCAUGAUUCAAUUAUCUCCCAUUUGGUCCCUCCCACAACAUGUGGGAAUUAUGGGAGCCACAAUUCAAGAUGAGAUUUGUGGGGACACAGCCAAACUGUAUCAACAGCCCUGUGAGCUGAGUUUUAUACCUGUUCUAUUAACAAGGAAACUGAGGCCAAGAGAGACUGGGUAACUUGGACAAGACCAAGCAACUAGUAUGUGGGUCUUAACCCAGCCUAGGCAAUCCUCCUGUGGUGAUGGUGAUGUAUUAUGCAGUCAGGGCAGGGUUUGGGGCUUAUCGCUGUGGAAGCUAGGGAAUAUCUGGUGUCAGAGAAAGACAGAGCUGAGAUUGUGGCUGUACCAGCUUAGCCAAUUCAUAACUGUGUGACCCUGGGCACCUCACUUCAAUUAUCUGGGCCUCAAUUUCUGCAUCUGUAAAUUUACAAGGCAGAGCUACAUUAUCUGGGCCCCAGUUUCCUCACAAGAAAAUUUAGAGUAUGAAACUGGAUGGCUUCAAGUGCUCUUUCUAUCCAGAGAUCCUCUGGCCUCCAAACAUCGUUUUAAUUCUUGUUACCAAAGCAAUUUCCCUCAAAAUGAUUCCACUAUCUGCCUACCUACCUACCUACACACACACACACACACACACACACACACGCACACACAUAUGCACACGCACACAUGCACACACACGCAUGCCAUCAGAUUCUGGGGAGCAUGCUUAAAAAGCUAAUUUCUGGAAUCACCCAAGAUUGAAGCAAGUCUGAAUCUGAAUCUCUGGGGAUAGGACACAAGAAUCUGUAUUUCACAAGCUACAUCUCAGACAACCUAAAAUGUACCUUGUGUUACUGAAUGACUUGAAGGAAGAUAAGAUUUUAAUAAGGGGAGAGAGAAAAAGAACAUCCCAGGAAGAUAACUGGUUUGAGAAAAGGCCCAGAAAUGGGUGGUUUUGAGGCAGUAAAUAGACUAGUCUGACUAGAGAGAAAGACAGUAUCAGAGAGUUGCAGAAGAUUAAAUUGGGAAAACAAUUAAUUGGACCAAAUCCCGAGAGAGAACGUACUUUUCUUGUGAUGGGAGUGUUCGUGUCCAUUAGAUAAAAUGCCCUUACCGUGGCAAGGACACAGAAGCAACUGCAUGGUCUAAGCCAUCCUCCUGGCUCCAAGCCUUUCUCUUGGUUGUGAGAGAUAUAUCAUUUUAUUUCAACCAUUAAAAAAGCAACAGGCAGACAUUUUUCUCUUGCAGAGUUGCAUUUUCACUGAGCACAUUUUAUGUGGCUUCUCCCCAAUGCCAGAUUAGUGAAGAUUCAGCUCACUCACAGUACAUGCCUCACAGAUUCUGGUAUAUUAGUCAUGAGCAGAGGGAUGGCCUGGAUUUGAGCAUCAGUUGUGACACCUACCAGGGAAUGACCUUAGGGAGGUCAUUCAACCUCUGCUUCUUGCAAUUUAUUUUAUUUUUUGAGAUAGAGUCUCACUCUGUCGCCUAGGCUGGAGUGGUGGAGUGGUGCCAUCUUGCCUCAGUGCAACCUCCACCUCCUGGGUUCAAGCGAUUCUCAGACCUCAGCCUCCUGAGUAGCUGGGACUACAGGCACCCACCUCCAUGCCUGGCUAAUUUUCGUAUUUUUAGUAGAGAUGGGAUUUCACCAUGUUAACCAAACUCCUGACCUCAAGUGAUCCACCCACCUCGGCCUCCCACAUGCUGGAAUUACAGGUGUGAGUAUCUUACCAUACUUCCUAACAAUGCCCUUGAGACUGCACAGGAGGAAUGCAUUCCAGACAAGGGGCUUUGGCAACACUGGAGCAGCAAAGCAGUUCCAGUCUACCACCCAUUUCAGAGAAAUGAGUCUUGAGAGAAAAGAUGAGAGGCAUCAGCUCCCUGCAGAUAAAUCCACCACAAACUGCAUGAUCAGUUGGUUGAGGGGCUGCAGGCUUUUCUACUGCACUUGGAGGAAAUAGGGGAAGGGUGGCAAGGUGGAACAAGACAGUGUGGAUGCCCACAGUGUGGGUCAAGAUGGCCAGGGGAGACCUAUGUUAAUUCUAGCUAAAUAUAAGCUUGAUUGGCUCACAGUACACUGAAGUUUAUACACCAAACUAAACUAUAUUAUCAGUGCAGUUUAUUAGAAAUCAAGUGACAACAGGAGCCUAAGGUAAAGACCAUCCGAGAGCACAGUAACACCGGGAAACACCGCGGGGUGGUUGCAGAGCAGGGGAUACUGCUCUGGUCACACAAAUGCCUUCUCAACCUGGAGGCUGUACAAGGUCCUCGUAAAGAGGGCUUAUGCAAAGAUCUCUGAGAAGGGAGGCGACCUCUGCUCACAAGAUCCAGGAGGGUCUUUGCAGAUGGGAGCUGGCAAGGAGGAGAAAAGCCUUUCAGGGCAGAGAUCACGGAACGCCUCAGGCUCUGCCUAGGUUCUCAGAAUAUGAAGUGAUUUUUUUUUUUGUCUGAAUCAAAGGUUCAGACAAACCCUCCCCUCUCCUCCCUUCCCUUCAUUUUCCUCCCUCCCUCCCUCCCUCCCUCCCUUCCUUCCUUCCUUCCUUCCUUCCUUCCUUCCCUCCCUCCUUCCUUCCCUCUUUCCUCUCUGUUUCAUUCGUUCUUUCGUUCGUUUGUUCUUUCCUCAUGUUUUUCUUUCCUUUCCUCAAAUGAUCCUCUUGCCUCUGUCUCCCAAGUAGCUGAGACUGUUUUAAAAAAGCUUUUGUAGGCUGGGCGUGGUGGUUCACACCUGUAAUCCCAGCACUUUGGGAGUCAGAGGCAGGUGUGCGGAUCACCAGGUCAAGAGAUUGAGAUCAUACUGGCCAAUAUGGUGAAACCCCAUCUCUACUAAAAAUUCAAAAAUUAGCCAGGUGUGGUGGCGCCAGCCCAUAGUCCUUGCUACUUGGGAGGCUGAUGCAGGAGAACAGCGAGAACCCAGGAGGUGGAGGUUGUGGUGAGCCAAGAUCGAGCUGCUGCACUCCAGCCUGGCAACAGAGAGAGACUCAGUCUCAAAAAAAAAAAAAAGUUUUUGUAGAGAUGGGGGGGGCGGGGAGUCUUGCUAUGUUGCCUAGGCUGUUCUUGAACUCCUGGCCUCAAGGAAUCCUCUAUCUUCAAGUCUCUCAAAAUGCUGGAAUUACUGGCAUUAACCACUGAGCCCGGCUGUGAGUCGGAAGUUCCAAUGUAAAGCCUUUAUGUCUCUGCUUAUCAUGCUAAAAGCAGACUAAGUGCUUAAGAGACUAAGUGACCUGGCUAGGUGUGGUGGCUCACCCCAGCACUUUGGGAGGCCGAGGUGGGUGGGUCACUUGAGGUUAGGAGUUUGAAACAAGCCUGGCCAACAUGGUGAAAUCCCAUCUCUCUUAAAAAUACAAAAAUUAGCUGGGCAUUGUGGAGCAUGCCUACAGUUCUAGCUAUUUGGUAGCCUGAGGCACGAGAAUUGCUUGGACCCAUGAGGUGGAGGUUGCAGUGAGCUGAGAUGGUGUCACUGCACUCCAGUUUGGGUGACAGAGCAAAGAUAAUAAAUAAAUAGCCUCCAAAAUAAAUAAAUAGAUAAAUAAAUAAAUAAAUAAUAAAAGAGACCAAGUGACCUGGCUGGGCACCUGGAGAAUGGGAAAUGGUCCCUAGGCCCCUUGUUUUUACUAUCAAAUGAAUAUUAAACUAUUUGACUAUCAAAUGAGCAUUAAACAUGAUUCCUCUUAUUACCCAACCAACAUUCUCCUCUGUCUUUCACAGGGAAACACAUUAACAAAACCUUAAACCCUCCGUGCUUCUGUGAUAGCUUAAACAGUUAAUAAAACAAUAAACAUUCCACAAAGAAAAACAAAUGUUAAGUUUAUUUUAAUUAAAACCCCAAGGGCCUGACUGAGAUCCCUAUCUACUUAACAUAUGCAAAGUGAUGCACCGUUCCUAACCCUUAAUAAACAAUUUAUGCAAACUGCUGAACCUCAAGGGCUUUCUAGUCAUGCUAGACUUUCCCCAGUUUCCACCUAGAAGGAGGGGAAUUGGUGCCAGGGCUCUGCUACAGGAAGCCCUAACCCAGGAAGCCAUUGUGUAAUGCAGGCAGAAAACUUCGCAGUUCCUGGAUUUCACUUAAUUUUUCCUUUUCUCUUUUCUUUGUUGAGAUGGAGCCUUGCUCUGUCACCCGGGCUGGAGUGCAGUGGUGCAACCUUGGCUCACUGUAACCUCUCCCUCCCAGGUUUAGUGAUUCUCCUGCCUCAGCCUCCCAAGUAGCUGGGAUUACAGGGAUACGCUACCACGCUAUGUUAAUUUCUGUAAUUUUAGUAGAGACGGGGUUUCACCAUGUUGGUCAGGCUGGUCUUGAACUCCUGACCUCAUGAUCCACCUGCCUCAGCCUCCCAAAUUGCUGGGAUUGCAGGCGUGAGCCACCCUAUCCAGCCAGAUUUCACUUAAUUUUUCUAUGGAAAAUUGGGCAUCUUCCCAUUUAUUUUUGUUGUUGUUGCCCUUCACAUUUCCAGCAUGACCACAUCUAACAAUUUUUAGUUCCCCAGGUUAUGCUUCAUUUAUUAUACAUGCCUCUAUACAACCUGUAUGGUUAUGUGGAUCCUUCAAGUUUCCCUUGGGAAAUAAAAUUAAGUUACAAUUCACAUCAAUUGUUAAACAUAUAUCAGCAACAAAUACCCUGGAGGCAUUCUGAAGAAUAUGAAUACUUCUUUAAUUAAUAUCAAACCCACUACUAUUAAUAAAUGUGGUGGGUUGAGGCAGGGGGCAGUGGCUCACACCUGUAAUCCCAGUACUUUGGGAGGUUAAGGCGGGUGGAUCACUUGAGGUCAGGAGUUCAAGACCAGCCUGGCCAACUUGGUGAAACCCCGCCUCUACUAAAAAAAUACACAAUUAGCCCGGCAUGGUGGUACAUGCCUGUAAUCCCAGCCUCUUGGGAGGCUGAGGCUGGAGAAUUGCUUGAACCUGGGAGGCAGAGGUUGCAGUGAGAUGAGAUCGCACUGUUGCACUCCAGCCUGGGCAACAAGAGUGAAACUCUGUUUCAAAAAAAGAAAAAAAAUGUAGUGGGUUGAAUAGUGAGUGCCCACCCUCAAAUUCAUGUCCAUCUGGAAUCUCAGAAUGUGGUCUUAUUUGGAAAUGGGGGUCUUUGCAGAUGUAAAUAGUUAAGAUGAGGUUAUACUGGAUUCAGGUGGACAUUAAAUUCAAUGAUUGGUGCCCUUGUAACAAGAGGAGAUGCCCGAAGAUACACGCAGAGGGAAGAAUACCAGGUGAUGGUGAGUCAGAGUCAGGAGUGACGUGGCUGCAAUCCAAGGAACUCCAAGGGCUGCCGAAGCUACCAGAAUCUAGAUAGAGACAGAAGACUCUGUCACCCAGGCAAUGGCGUGGUCUCGGCUCACAGCAACCUCUGCUUCCCGGUUCCAGCUUUUCUUCUGCCUCAGUCUCCCGAGUAGCUGGGAUUACAGGUGCCUGCUACCAUGCCCAGGUACUUAGAGAAAAUAAAUUUCUGUUGUUUUCA